GUGGAUCUGGCUCAACUGGUACGGCACCGGUCUCGAAAACCGGCAGGCGAAGUGAUUCGCCAUGAGGGUCCGACUCCCUCGAUCCACG
rnacentral:tRNA from 1 species